AACGAACGCUGGCGGCAUGCCUAACACAUGCAAGUCGAACGAGACCUUCGGGUCUAGUGGCGCACGGGUGCGUAACGCGUGGGAACCUGCCCUUAGGUUCGGAAUAACUCCCCGAAAGGGGUGCUAAUACCGGAUAAUGUCUUCGGACCAAAGAUUUAUCGUCUUUGGAUGGGCCCGCGUUGGAUUAGCUAGUUGGUAGGGUAAAAGCCUACCAAGGCGACGAUCCAUAGCUGGUCUGAGAGGAUGAUCAGCCACACUGGGACUGAGACACGGCCCAGACUCCUACGGGAGGCAGCAGUGGGGAAUAUUGGACAAUGGGCGAAAGCCUGAUCCAGCAAUGCCGCGUGAGUGAUGAAGGACUUAGGGUUGUAAAGCUCUUUUACCCGGGAUGAUAAUGACAGUACCGGGAGAAUAAGCUCCGGCUAACUCCGUG
rnacentral:rRNA from 1 species